AUCAAAUCUCAAGUCCAAACUGGUUCCGGUAAAGUCAGCAUCAGGAAGGAACCUUUCCUGCUCAGUAACAUAAGUCCCUACUGUAUAGUAAUCAUGGGAAUUGAAACUUGCCUUCAUGACAUGCCUAACACUUGGGUUUUCAACAGAGGUGUCGACCCCAUUGGUGCUGUUAAUCGACACGGGAAAGAAGUCUGGACACUCCCACAUUUCGGUUUUCAACGAUGAAUAAAGAGGAUCUCGAUGCAUAGUCCAAUGAACAAAAUCUUGACUUUGGAAGAGUAUAGCCAUGCCCUGGUUGUUGCUGUAGCUUCCAAUGACUACUUUCCAGGUUCCAUCAGGGCCCUGCCAAGCAGUUGUUGGAUCUCUAAAGUUAUCUCCUUUUACACCAUCCGGUGGAGUCAUUAGAGGGUUUCCGAAGUAUUUGACCCAUUCUACUAGCAAUGGGUCGGAUUCGUUUUUUGGGGUUGCCAGGUUU
rnacentral:lncRNA from 1 species